rnacentral:rRNA from 1 species
AACGAACGCUGGCGGCAUGCCUAACACAUGCAAGUCGAACGAGACCUUCGGGUCUAGUGGCGCACGGGUGCGUAACGCGUGGGAACCUGCCCUUAGGUUCGGAAUAACUCCCCGAAAGGGGUGCUAAUACCGGAUAAUGUCUUCGGACCAAAGAUUUAUCGCCUUUGGAUGGGCCCGCGUUGGAUUAGCUAGUUGGUAGGGUAAAAGCCUACCAAGGCGACGAUCCAUAGCUGGUCUGAGAGGAUGAUCAGCCACACUGGGACUGAGACACGGCCCAGACUCGUGGGGGGGCCGGAGGGGGGAAAUAUUGGAGAAGGGGAGAAGGCGUGACCAACCAUGGCCGGGGGAGGAAGGAGGCCUUGGGGGUUGAAAAGUUUUUUCCCCGGGAAGGAAAAGCACAGACCGGGGAAAAAAGGCCCGGCCAACCCCGGGC